AUUGAACGCUGGCGGCAGGCCUAACACAUGCAAGUCGAGCGGAUGAAGGGAGCUUGCUCCUGGAUUCAGCGGCGGACGGGUGAGUAAUGCCUAGGAAUCUGCCUGGUAGUGGGGGAUAACGUCCGGAAACGGGCGCUAAUACCGCAUACGUCCUGAGGGAGAAAGUGGGGGAUCUUCGGACCUCACGCUAUCAGAUGAGCCUAGGUCGGAUUUGCUAGUUGGUGGGGUAAAGGCCUACCAAGGCGACGAUCCGUAACCGGUCUGAGAGGAUGACCAGUCACCCUGGAACUGAGACACGGUCCCGACUCCUACGGGAGGCAGCAGUGGGGAAUAUUGGCCAAUGGGCGGAAGCCUGGUCCAGCCAUGCCGCGUGUGUUAAGAAGGUCUUCGGAUUGUAAAGCACUUUAAGUUGGGAGGAAGGGCAGUAAGUUAAUACCUUGCUGUUUUGACGUUACCAACAGCAUAAGCACCGGCUUACUUCGUG
rnacentral:rRNA from 1 species